rnacentral:rRNA from 1 species
AUUGAACGCUGGCGGCAGGCCUAACACAUGCAAGUAGAACGAGUGGCGGACGGGUGAGUAAAGUCUGGGAAACUGCCUGAUGGAGGGGGAUAAAUACUGGAAAAGGUAGCUAAUACCGCAUACCAUAAGAUGUGGCAAGAUGGGAUUAGCUAGUUGGUGGGGUAACGGCUCACCAAGGCGACGAUCCCUAGCUGGUCUGAGAGGAUGACCAGCCACACUGGAACUGAUACACGGUCCAGACGCCUACGGGAGGCAGCAGUGGGGAAUAUUGCACAAUUGGCGCAAGCCUGAUGCAGCCAUGCCGCGUGUAUGAAGAAGGCCUUCGGGUUGUAAAGUACUUUCAGCGGGGAGGCGUUACCCGCAUAAGAAGCACCGGCUAACUCCGUGCCAGCAGCCGCGGUAAUUC